rnacentral:rRNA from 1 species
GAGUUUGAUCGUGGCUCAGGACGAACGCUGGCGGCGUGCCUAAUACAUGCAAGUCGAGCGGAUCUUCAUUAGCUUGCUUUUGAAGAUCAGCGGCGGACGGGUGAGUAACACGUGGGCAACCUGCCUGUAAGACUGGGAUGACUUCGGGAAACCGGAGCUAAUACCGGAUAAUCCUUUUCCUCUCAUGAGGAAAAGCUGAAAGACGGUUUCGGCUGUCACUUACAGAUGGGCCCGCGGCGCAUUAGCUAGUUGGUGAGGUAACGGCUCACCAAGGCGACGAUGCGUAGCCGACCUGAGAGGGUGAUCGGCCACACUGGGACUGAGACACGGCCCAGACUCCUACGGGAGGCAGCAGUAGGGAAUCUUCCGCAAUGGACGAAAGUCUGACGGAGCAACGCCGCGUGAGCGAUGAAGGCCUUGGUCGUAAGACUCUGUUGUCAGGAGACAAGUAUCGGAGUAACUGCCGGUACCGUUG